rnacentral:rRNA from 1 species
UUUAAUGAGAGUUUGAUCCUGGCUCAGGACGAACGCUGGCGGCGUGCCUAAUACAUGCAAGUAGAACGCUGAUGUUUGGUGUUUACACUAGACUGAUGAGUUGCGAACGGGUGAGUAACGCGUAGGUAACCUGCCUCAUAGCGGGGGAUAACUAUUGGAAACGAUAGCUAAUACCGCAUAAGAGUAUUAACACAUGUUAGUUAUUUAAAAGGAGCAAUUGCUUCACUGUGAGAUGGACCUGCGUUGUAUUAGCUAGUUGGUGAGGUAAA